UACAGAGGAGCCAAGCGUUGUCCGGAUUGACUGGGCGUAAAGCGCACGCAGGCGGUCGCGCGCGUGGGGUGUGAAAUCUGGCCGCGUUAACGGCCAGGCGCCAUCCCAUACGGCGCGACUCGAGCCAUGCAGAGGGCGGUGGAAUUGCCGGUGUAGUGGUGAAAUGCGUAGAGAUCGGCAGGAACACCCAGGGGGGAAACCAGCCGGCCUGGGCAUGCGCUGACGCUGAGGUGCGAGAGCGUGGGGGAGCGAACCGG
rnacentral:rRNA from 1 species